rnacentral:rRNA from 1 species
CCGGCGCACGGGUGAGUAACACGUAUGCAACCUGCCCCCGGCAGGGGAAUAAACCGGAGAAAUCCGGUCUAAUUCCGCGUAACGUCCCUUCUCCGCAUGGAGGAGGGACCAAAGGAGGCAACUCCGGCCGGGGAUGGGCAUGCGGCGCAUUAGCUAGUCGGCGGGGUAACGGCCCACCGAGGCGACGAUGCGUAGGGGUUCUGAGAGGAAGGCCCCCACACUGGUACUGAGACACGGACCAG